GGUGGCUAUAGGUCACAUGCUGGCUUUCCACCACUCUAACUCCAGCUCCUGUUACACUUCUCUUUACACAGUUGAUAUCUUUUCUUCCCCUCAGCAACUGUGAGUUAGAUAUUAUCUGCACUUUAUGUUACAAACAAAGCUCAGAGAAGUGAAGUGAUUUUUCCACGUCAGAAUGGAGAGCAGGCUUCCAGGAGGGUGAAGAGCAGGGCUGCCAUGUUGCUUCAGACCAUGGUGAACCAACCUCAGGGAAAACAGAAGGAAGAGGAAAGAUUCUCAUUGCGGAGGGAAAUCUCUACAAGCAGCCUGUUAAGUAGUAAAUGUUACUGCUGUGCCUGAACGGAGUUAUCAUCCACGGGAAGCGUCAGCUGAUAAGGUGUACAACACAGAGUAGGUCGUCCCACCUGCUGAGCUUGGAGGCAAUUCCUUCAUCAUCUGGGGAGAUGUGCAUUCAACAUCAUCGUCCUUCCUCUCCUCCAAAUGCAACCUUGGUUUGCACGGUAGUUGGGCCUAUUCUGGAUGUCGGCUCUGGAAAUUCCACUCCAUCUACUCUGAGUGAAAACGGACUUGGUUGGGAGAAUCUCAGGAUGUGUGGCUGAAUCCAGCCUCAGAAAUAAAGCCAGGCAGCAGGACCAGAGCUGGCCUGGGGUGCUGUUCCAAGCCGGGAGUCUUUGCUCUGUGUCACUUAUUCAUGCUUCUCUCUUUGCUGUUCUGUCUUGCUGUAGUCCAGCUUUCUCAGUUUCCCAGUUCUCGUGGUGGGACGUGGUCACCUCUACCAGCUCCCAAGGGUCCAUGCUACAGCCCAGCCAUCUAGAGAGAGUCUGCCCUCUUCCCCGAAUGCAGCAUCCCUCCCCAGACCAGUCCACUGUAAGCAGGGGGUAGGUCACACUUUAACAUGGAACUUUGGCUGCAACUCUAUGGAUGGGGUGAGGAAGGAUGAAUUUCUAGAAAAGCAAUAGUAGGAAGAUAACCCAAGAGAUGUCCAUUGCAUUGCUAGCAAGAGCCCAGAUUCACCCCACAAAUGGAUAGCAAGCUCAGGGACUCCCGCCAUCUUGUAAUUCAAGUUCUGACAUUGAAGCCCAUAAAUACCUACAAAUGAAAAGGGGCUGUGAAGGACAGAGAGCGUGUAUUUCUGAUUCCAUGUGGAGCUGUGACCAGAUCUGAGUCCCGCACACUCACCACCUCAUUCUCAGAGCUUGUGCUGUUGAUUUAGUCUUGGGGGCAUCACUCCUCGACCCAAACCAGGUUUCCUUUCCCCUCUUUGGCCCGGCUCCUCACUAAGUAAUAUCCACAAUAUACCAGGGGCUUGCAGCCACAGUGAUGAAGCUGCUGCCCCUCGAAAACAUUGCUUCUCUACAUUAUCUCUCAGCCUCCCAACAACCCCAUCUUCUAGAUGUGGACUUGAGGCUCACAGAGGUUGAGCAAUUUGCUAAGGUCAUAUUGAUAGGAAGAAGGGAACUGGGACUGGCUCUCACACAUUUCUAGCUCUACAGCCUUUAUUUAUUUCAUAACACUACACUAGUCCCUCCACACAACAACACAUCUCAAGACCAGGGUGUCAGCAAGAGAAAACAGGGAAACAAUGGACAAGAAAAUGGGCCCGUAAUUUCUACAUUCGAAAAAGGAUGUAGAAAUGCACGGGUGGACCCGACGUCUGCUGGAUUCUUAGUUGCUGUGGCCUCAGGUUGGCUUAGAACUGUGUUCCAUAACUGCGGAAGCUCAUAGUCCUCUUCUGGAUGGGGUGGAUUUCCAGGGGGCUUUUGGGCCCAUUUUCCCCUUGUCACUCAGGUUCUGUGGCCCAUGGGUGCUUUCUACGUGGGACAUAGCAUUGACCCAGACAUGAAAACACAUUCCUUUUCUUAGGUAACAUCCUGAGCCUAAGUAAAACACAUCCACACAAAGUUUUCCACUAUUGCGAACAUAGUAAUCUUCCCGGAGGAUGUGGAGGUGGGCUGAAGACGGGUUUCUACCCGUCUACACAGUCAGUCUAAGGUUUGACAUUAGUCACUCCCAUACUUACAUUAUCUUAUGGUCAUCACAUCCAGGGACAUUUCCACUCACUCCUCACCCCAUAGAGUCCCCUCACCACUUGCCAUCUGCAGAACUCCCCUCUCUCCCUCUCCUACCUUUUCUUGAGUGUCAGGGUAAAACACGCGGUCUUCUCAUUUUCUAAUGCUAAUAGCUGCUAGAUGCAAACCGGCUCACUAUUCUGAGCCUAUCUUAUAGUCCCUGGGUGGAACCAGAGCCUCUGCUCGUGGAAAGCCCCCUCCCCUCUCUGCCCUGGGGCCGCUCUCUCCAUUCUCCCCAGGUCUAGCAUCCUCUGUCCACCUGGAGCUGAAGCCGCUCACAUCAGUACCUGCUGUUGGAAGUCAUCUUUCUCUGACAGCACUAGCUUGGCCCUCCUGCCUGGAGCCUCCAGAAGCAGCCAUCCCUGAGGAGAGAGAGAAGGCAUUUCCUCCAGGUGGAGCAGCCAAGAAGAAAAGCUCCUCCAGCUAAUGAUCUCUCCACAUUGGCGGCAGGAGGAGACGAUGGUUUCUGGCAGCCCCUGGUGUACAUUAUUUCAACUCCCUGACCAACAAGAAAGAAAGAGUGUUGUGAUCAUUGGUUCACGUGAUAAUGCUGAGGGCGGAAAGCUCCCCCUAGACCACGAUUUCUGUUCAAUGUGAUGGAGGCAAAGGGGACAACUCCUGUAAACUGACAGCACUUACCGGUUAUGCUCUCCUGCAUGAGCACCAAGGACCUGGCCACGUGAGUGUGACCAUCAGACCCCGGCAGGGGUCAACACCGGUCAUAGGCCUGCAGAGCUGGGCCGAAGAGCAACGCCGAUCACAGCAGGAACAGCAGUUUUAGAAGCUCCAGGCGCUAAGUGUUCUACACGUGUUAUCUUCCUUGACUCUCCGAGCAGCUCUGGAAGGUAGGUACCAUUACUGUCAUCAUUUUGCAGCUGAGCAAACUGAGGCUCAAAGACGUUGAGUAAAUCGCUCCAGGUCACAACUGAGAAAGCGGUGGUUUUGAACGUGGGUGAUGUGGCUUCUACUCUCCGCUCUCUCUGCUCUGCUGUGUGGACUUUCAUGAACACGCCGCGACCCAAGCCAAGACCAGGAGCCUCUGGGUGGGCGGCCCGGGCAUCUCCGUGUACUCUGUGGAGCUGGCAGCUGAGAACCUUCACCUUUUCUCUUAAAGGAAGCACUUUACGGCUGCCCUUUGGCACAUCUGAAUUGCCAGCAUCACUACUCUUGUGCUUUCGGGCCAUUAUUAAGUCAAGUAAGGGUGACUUGAACACAAGCACUGCGAUACUGUGACCAGUGAUCUGACACCCGCGAGGACCACUGCGUGACUAGCAAGCGGACAGCGUGUACAGUGUGGAUACACUGGACGAACGAUGAUUCACGUCCCAGGCAGGAGGGAGGAGGAUGGUGUGGGAUUUCAUCACACUACUUAGAACGGCACACAAUGUAAAGCGUAUGAAUUGUUUAUUUCUGGAAUUUUCCAUUUACUAUUUUUGGACUGUGGUUGACUGCAGGUAACUGAAACUGGAAAGAGAAACCAAGGCUCAGGGGAGAUUGCUGUAUAGCAUAACAGCAUGUAUUUUCUCUCUGCAUCUUCAUACAGGUGCUUGUGCAUUUCGAGAAGGGGCUCUGACAACAUCCCUGAGUAGAAUCCUGAAAACGUCCAAUCCAAGCGUGGUCCUUAGGAAUGCCGUUUUCCAGGAUUUCCAGUUCUCUGCCUUCAGGGGCAUGGUGGGGUUGCACCGCACCUGCCUCUCUGAGGUCAGGUGUGGCCAUGAGCAUUUGCCAGGGGAAUCUGAGUGGAGGUGACAUGUCUCACUUCUGGGGUAAGCCAUGCUCACUCUGCCUCGGUGCCCAGAGAGGCUGCAGUGGCGCAUGCUCUGUCAACCGUGUCUCAGAGCAGCCAAGCGCUGGCUGACCUAUGAUAGGCAUGCAGUGAGAGAGAGGUACACUCUUCUUAGUGUGAGCCGUUGAUUUUAGGGUGGGUAGUUACUAGAUCAUAAUCUGGUGUGUCAUGGCUGAUGCUUCAAGUCUCUGUUCAACCCAAAGAGCCCCGUCCCUCUGUUGAAGGACUUCCCCUGGGUCUCUACCUGGGGUUGAUCUAAGGGACAGGUUUGGAGACCACUGCAGCUGGAUUUGGAAGGGACCCAUUGCUGACCUCAAAGUCACAUUGACCAAAGUAUAUUAAAAAUGGAAAAUUGAAAUUCGGAGAGUAAUGGCACUUGAUAGAUGCAUGGAGAUUUAAUUUUUCAAAGACUUUCCACAUCUAUCAAAAUUUUUCCCCAGAAUAACAACAAAAACAAUACGUGACAGAUUCCAUUUCCCAAUGUCUACCGUCUCAUUUGCUCUUCUGCAAUGCGACCUUGCCAUCCUCCAUCAAGAGGUGAAGUUGAUGUCUCAAUCCUUGAUUCUAGGCUGGACUGGGACUCCUUUGACCAGUAGAAUAAAUCCGGCAGAAGUUAUGCUGUGGUGGUUCUGGGAGUAGCUCUGAACUGGCUGGAAGCUUCUGCUUCCUGCCUGCCUUAUUCAGGCUCUGGGAUGAGACACCAUGUGGAGAGAGAGAGAGAGACAGAGAGAGACAGAGAGAGAGAGAGAAGGAGAGAGAUAGCAAGAAGUAUCGUUGUGCCAAAUGUGCAAGUGAAGAGGCAUACUGGGAAACGGAAUCUCGAGCCCCAGAGGCCCAGGGCUAAGAUGAACGACCCAGCUGGGUCCUUCCCCAAAUCCUUGACCCACACAAUCAUGAGUGAAAUAGAUGGUUGGUUGUAGCCACUACAUUUUGCAGUAGUAUAUUAUGCAGCACUAGAUAACCAAAGCAUCGAAACAACAGUAAAACCUGGGAGGGAUGUCAGGCAAGACUUAUUUUCUUAUUUUAAAGAUAAGACAACUGAUGGUCAUGACACUGAGUCCUGUUCCUGGGAUCGCGGUGCUCCUUGGUGGAAUAGGAAGGACUAGAACACACGUGUUCUGAUUGUCAAUCUAGCUCAGGGUUUUUCCACCACAGAAGACAUCCUGGCAUGUAGGAUGUUUGAGGCAAACCUUGCAGAGGCUCUAGACGAGAGGAAAAUGAAGGCCAGAGGUGGAGGGCCUUGCUUAUGGUCACAUGGGGAGUUGGGCCGCUGACCAGACAAUCCCCGUCUUCUGACUCCGGGGUUCAGUGCUCCGCCCUACAGCUUCUGAUUCCUCCAUUAUCUGAGAGAAGAGCCAAAUUGCUUGAAAAUUAAAAUGCGUUUUUGUUGCCUUCUUUUCUUGGUAAUAUCCUGUAAAAGCAAACGAUAAUUCUCAGGGGGAUGUUAAAUAAAAAGCUGUAAAACUACCUCCUUGCCACAGGCUGAACAUUUGAAGGGAGAUUUGCCGAGGAGGAGCCAUAUCGUUAGAGCCAAGGGAGCCAGGAGAGGAGGAGACUGCAGUCUGUUCCCACUGCGGGAGCCCCCGCCAGAGAGACAGCCCUGGCCCAGAGCGUCCCUGGCCAGUCGUUCUCUCUAAACAGGAACAUCUCUAUUGACA
rnacentral:lncRNA from 1 species